rnacentral:rRNA from 1 species
CCCUUAGAUGUUCUGGGCCGCACGCGCGCUACACUGAUGCAUUCAACGAGCCUAUCCUUGACCGACAGGUCCGGGUAAUCUUUGAAUCUGCAUCGUGACGGGGAUAGAUUAUUGCAAUUAUUAAUCUUCAACGAGGAAUGCCUAGUAGGCGCAAGUCAUCAGCUUGCGUCGAUUACGUCCCUGCCCUUUGUACACACCGCCCGUCGCUCCUACCGAUUGGGUGUGCUGGUGAAAUGUUCGGAUCGGCCGUUUGUCGCGGUUUCCGCGUCAUGUGGCUCAGAAGUUCAUUAAACCCUCCCACCUAGAGGAAGGAGAAGUCGUAACA